rnacentral:rRNA from 1 species
GUAAACAAGGUUUCCGUAGGUGAACCUGCGGAAGGAUCAUUAACGAAUCGAACAAAGCGCCCUCGGCUGAUUGCUGGCCCCCCGGGGCACGUGCACGCCCGGGCGUGACCUUCCAUUCGCCUCUUCUCCCCCCUUGUGCACUCCAUGUAGGCCGUCGGCGGUGGGCCCUCUUUUUUUGGGGGGCCCCCAACGGCGCCUACGAUCUCGUCUUUGUACGCACCCCGAUCGCAUGUAUAAGGCGUUACGUUUUCAUGUGAGAAAUACAACUUUCAACAACGGAUCUCUUGGCUCUCGCAUCGAUGAAGAACGCAGCGAAAUGCGAUAAGUAAUGUGAAUUGCAGAAUUCAGUGAAUCAUCGAAUCUUUGAACGCACCUUGCGCUCUUUGGCCUUUCCAAAGAGCAUGCCUGUUUGAGUGUCAUUGAAUCCUCAAGGCUCCCUCCUUCUGGGUGUGGACCCCUUGGACUUGGGAGCGCUGCGGGGCCCCCCCGGCACUGUACGCCGGGGCCCCCGCUCUCCUGAAACGCAUCAGUAGGGCCUCGUCCUUUCGGGUCUUUGCGGCGUUGAUAGUCGUCUACGCCUCGCCCGUCGGGUCUAAUCGAACCUGCUCCCCAACCCCUCCGGCGAAAGCCCCCCUCUUCUUUUGAACACUUUGACCUCAAAUCAGGUAGGACUACCCGCUGAACUUAAGCAUAUCAAUAAGCGGAGGAAAAGAAACUAACAAGGAUUCCCCUAGUAACUGCGAGUGAAAGCGGGAAA